CACCUGAAGCCGGCUGCAUGCGUGGGAAGAGAAGAGGGAAAGUGGGGCAAUAUUGGCGGGAACGGGAAGCGAGGCUUGGUGCCUCUGUUGCUUUCGGCGACGAAGGGGGAAGAGUGGCUUCUCCACCUAUUGUAGUUGGCCCCGACGAACGGAAAGACGCGUCGUCCUUUGCCAGCCAUGUACUGUGCGUU